rnacentral:tRNA from 1 species
GCCCGCCUAGCUCAAUCGGAUAGAGCGUGAGACUUUUACGGCCUCUCGAAUGGCGGGAAAUCUCAAGGCUGCGGGUUCGACCCCCGCGGUGGGCU